CAUACAUCCUGGAAGGCAGGAAAUGUACCAAGACCGAUGACUUCAGUGCCUGGCAUGUGUUUGAGAAAUGCGCAAGCAAAUGAAUUGAUCACAGAAGAGCAAUUUGGAAAAGGGCAAGGGGACCGGCCCAUCACUCAAGGCCUCCUGCACCACCGUCGCUAGGCUUCCAAGGAGAUCUGUUUACAGAGGCAGAGAACAUUCUUUCUGUGCAGAGAAAGCUCAGCUUCCGGAGGCGGGGUGCAGCUCUUACCUCCAGCGCCCAAUGAGAGCGGCCAGACCUGGGUUCCUGUGAGUGUCCUUGGACCCACAACUGUUCCUCAAAAGUUAACAUUUUUGGAAAUAAAUAAAAUAGAAGUUU